rnacentral:tRNA from 2 species
GUAAAUUCGACGGAGCUACUAGUAGUCCCUCCGAAGGCAAAGGCCGCACGUUCGAAUCGUGCCGGGUGCGCCA